CCUACGGGAGGCAGCAGUAGGGAAUUUUGCGCAAUGGGCGAAAGCCUGACGCAGCAACGCCGCGUGAUCGAGACGCCCUUCGGGUUGUAAACUGCUUUUAUACGGGAAUAACGCGCCUUACGUGUAGGGCUUUGCAUGUACCGUAUGAAUAAGGACCGGCUAAUUCCGUGCCAGCAGCCGCGGUAAUACGGAAGGUCCGGGCGUUAUCCGGAUUUAUUGGGUUUAAAGGGAGCGUAGGCCGCAUGUCAAGCGUGCUGUGAAAUGUCCGGGCUCAACCCGGGCCUUGCAGCGCGAACUGGCGUGCUUGAGUCCGCGGAAAGCAGGCGGAAUUCGUGGUGUAGCGGUGAAAUGCUUAGAUAUGACGAAGAACCCCGAUUGCGAAGGCAGCUUGCUGCAGCGGAACUGACGCUGAUGCUCGAAAGCGCGGGUAUCGAACAGGAUUAGAUACCCCUGUAGUC
rnacentral:rRNA from 1 species